UAGGGAAUCUUCGGCAAUGGACGAAAGUCUGACCGAGCAACGCCGCGUGAGUGAAGAAGGUUUUCGGAUCGUAAAACUCUGUUGUUAGAGAAGAACAAGGACGUUAGUAACUGAACGUCCCCUGACGGUAUCUAACCAGAAAGCCACGGCUAACUACGUGCCAGCAGCCGCGGUAAUACGUAGGUGGCAAGCGUUGUCCGGAUUUAUUGGGCGUAAAGCGAGCGCAGGCGGUUUCUUAAGUCUGAUGUGAAAGCCCCCGGCUCAACCGGGGAGGGUCAUUGGAAACUGGAAGAAUUGAGUGCAGAAGAGGAGAGUGGAAUUCCAUGUGUAGCGGUGAAAUGCGUAGAUAUAUGGAGGAACACCAGUGGCGAAGGCGGCUCUCUGGUCUGUAACUGACGCUGAGGCUCGAAAGCGUGGGGAGCAAACAGG
rnacentral:rRNA from 1 species